GAUGAACGCUGGCGGCGUGCCUAACACAUGCAAGUCGAGCGGAGAUCGAUGAAGUAGCAAUACGGAAACGGUCUUAGCGGCGGACGGGUGAGUAACACGUGAGUAACCUGCCUUCUACUGGGGAAUAACACCGUGAAAACGGUGCUAAUACCGCAUAAUAUUGUUCUGUGGCAUCACAGGACAAUCAAAGGAGUAAUCCGGUAAAAGAUGGACUCGCGUCCGAUUAGCUAGUUGGUGAGGUAAUGGCUCACCAAGGCGACGAUCGGUAGCCGAACUGAGAGGUUGAUCGGCCACAUUGGGACUGAGACACGGCCCAGACUCCUACGGGAGGCAGCAGUGGGGAAUAUUGGGCAAUGGGCGAAAGCCUGACCCAGCAACGCCGCGUGAAGGAUGACGGCCUUCGGGUUGUAAACCUCUUUCAGCAGGGAAGAAGCGAAAGUGACGGUACCUGCAGAAGAAGCACCGGCUAACUACGUGCCAGCAGCCGCAGUAAUAC
rnacentral:rRNA from 1 species